GGGACACGUGGUAUCCUGUCUGAAUAUGGGGGGACCAUCCUCCAAGGCUAAAUACUCCUGACUGACCGAUAGUGAACCAGUACCGUGAGGGAAAGGCGAAAAGAACCCCGGCGAGGGGAGUGAAAAAGAACCUGAAACCGUGUACGUACAAGCAGUGGGAGCACGCUUAGGCGUGUGACUGCGUACCUUUUGUAUAAUGGGUCAGCGACUUAUAUUCUGUAGCAAGGUUAACCGAAUAGGGGAGCCGAAGGGAAACCGAGUCUUAACUGGGCGUUAAGUUGCAGGGUAUAGACCCGAAACCCGGUGAUCUAGCCAUGGGCAGGUUGAAGGUUGGGUAACACUAACUGGAGGACCGAACCGACUAAUGUUGAAAAAUUAGCGGAUGACUUGUGGCUGGGGGUGAAAGGCCAAUCAAACCGGGAGAUAGCUGGUUCUCCCCGAAAGCUAUUUAGGUAGCGCCUCGUGAAUUCAUCUCCGGGGGUAGAGCACUGUUUCGGCAAGGGGGUCAUCCCGACUUACCAACCCGAUGCAAACUGCGAAUACCGGAGAAUGUUAUCACGGGAGACACACGGCGGGUGCUAACGUCCGUCGUGAAGAGGGAAACAACCCAGACCGCCAGCUAAGGUCCCAAAGUCAUGGUUAAGUGGGAAACGAUGUGGGAAGGCCCAGACAGCCAGGAUGUUGGCUUAGAAGCAGCCAUCAUUUAAAGAAAGCGUAAUAGCUCACUGGUCGAGUCGGCCUGCGCGGAAGAUGUAACGGGGCUAAACCAUGCACCGAAGCUGCGGCAGCGACGCUGAUGCGUUGUUGGGUAGGGGAGCGUUCUGUAAGCCUGCGAAGGUGUGCUGUGAGGCAUGCUGGAGGUAUCAGAAGUGCGAAUGCUGACAUAAGUAACGAUAAAGCGGGUGAAAAGCCCGCUCGCCGGAAGACCAAGGGUUCCUGUCCAACGUUAAUCGGGGCAGGGUGAGUCGACCCCUAAGGCGAGGCCGAAAGGCGUAGUCGAUGGGAAACAGGUUAAUAUUCCUGUACUUGGUGUUACUGCGAAGGGGGGACGGAGAAGGCUAUGUUGGCCGGGCGACGGUUGUCCCGGUUUAAGCGUGUAGGCUGGUUUUCCAGGCAAAUCCGGAAAAUCAAGGCUGAGGCGUGAUGACGAGGCACUACGGUGCUGAAGCAACAAAUGCCCUGCUUCCAGGAAAAGCCUCUAAGCAUCAGGUAACAUCAAAUCGUACCCCAAACCGACACAGGUGGUCAGGUAGAGAAUACCAAGGCGCUUGAGAGAACUCGGGUGAAGGAACUAGGCAAAAUGGUGCCGUAACUUCGGGAGAAGGCACGCUGAUAU
rnacentral:rRNA from 1 species